GGGCUUUUGGUCAGCAGUGACUCAGAGAGGAGACCACAGCUUGAUGUUACCCACACCUCUCCCUGCAUCCUACAGAAUCUCGUUGGGGCAUUAGGGCGGUCAGCUGGCCCAAGCCUGCUUAGCUUGUGAGCUCAGAGGCCCUCACAGCCUAGAGCUCAAACUGCAGCAGUGGGCAGGAAAGGAGCAGCCUGGGCAGUGAUGUCUGGAAAGCGAAGGAGGGAAAAUCUGCAAUUUGAGCCCUGUUCACCUAGCAAGAAUUCCCUGAAUGAAACAGCGAUUAGGAGACCCGCCAUGGUUUUGGAAGAUCUCUUGCAGAUAAGUUUCCCACCUCUUGAAAUGCGAGGGUCUCCAUCACGCACUGAGCCCCGCAGAGAGACAGG